GACCUCACACAGACGCUAUGGAAUAGACCACUACCUGGGAGUUGUGACAAACCCAUUUUUCUCCUGGCACAAAGACGUUAUGGAAAGACUGACCAACAGAAUGCUCGAAGACUACGAAACUUUCCAUAAAAUGGAAACAGCAGCUGGAUGCACCAGCACCAGAAGCCAGGCAGGAGGGAGCUGAAAAGAUGCAGUUUUAUCUCCAAAGGAAAGGGUGGGGAGAAUUUCUUCUAAAAUGGAUGGAGGAGUGGAAGUUAAAGACGUGAACAAAACAGGAGCCUUGGAAUAGCUUCUGUUAGAGGAUGGCCGCUGUAAUUAGAGAAGGGAGCAGUGUCGUGCCUGCCAUUUGAAUAAGGAUUCAGUGAGGUCUAUAAUGCUGAGCUAGUCAAAGGGGG